rnacentral:rRNA from 1 species
UAGGUUACGUGCCCUUUGGUGGGGGAUAGCCCAGGGAAACCUGGAUUAAUACCGCAUAUGUCCUUCGGGAUGAAAGCCUUCGGGCGCCAGAGGAUCGGCCUGCGGCCCAUUAUUUAAUCCUGGAUGGUAGGGUAACGGCUUACCAUGGGUACGAUGGGUAGCUGGUCUGAGAGGAUGAUCAGCCACACUGGGACUGAGACACGGCCCAGACUCCUACGGGAGGCAGCAGUGGGGAAUAUUGGACAAUGGGCGAAAGCCUGAUCCAGUCAUGCCGCGUGUGUGAUGAAGGCCUUCGGGUUGUAAAGCACUGUCGGGAGGGAAGAAAGCUUCGGCUUGACGGUACCUCGCAAGAAAGCACCGGCUAACUCCGUGCCAGCAGCCGCGGUAAUACGGAGGGUGCAAGCGUUGCUCGGAAUUACUGGGCGUAAAGCGUACGCAGGCGGCCAAUUAAGUUGGAUGUGAAAGCCCUGGGCUCAACCCGGGAAUUGCAUUCAAAACUGGUUGGCUUGAGUGUGAGAGAGGGAAGUGGAAUUCCAGGUGUAGAGGUGAAAUUCGUUGAUAUCUGGAGGAACACCGGCGGCGAAGGCGGCUUCCUGGCCCACAACUGACGCUCAUGUACGAAAGCGUGGGUAGCAAACAGGAUUAGAUACCCUGGUAGUCCACGCCGUAAACGAUGUUUGCUAGGUGUUGGU